UACGUAGGGUGCAAGCGUUAAUCGGAAUUACUGGGCGUAAAGCGUGCGCAGGCGGUUUUGUAAGUCUGUCGUGAAAUCCCCGGGCUUAACCUGGGAAUUGCGAUGGAGACUGCAAGGCUAGAAUCUGGCAGAGGGGGGUAGAAUUCCACGUGUAGCAGUGAAAUGCGUAGAGAUGUGGAGGAACACCGAUGGCGAAGGCAGCCCCCUGGGCCGAUACUGACGCUCAUGCACGAAAGCGUGGGGAGCAAACAGG
rnacentral:rRNA from 1 species